rnacentral:tRNA from 2 species
GGGCGGUUGGCGCAGCGGUAGCGCGCUUCCCUGACACGGAAGAGGUCGCUGGUUCGAUCCCAGUACCGCCCACCG